UAUAUUAUUAUGCAAAAAAAAAAAUACAAAUUGUGAAUUUUUAAAAUAAUAGGUAUAUAUAACCUGUGAAUUAGGAUAACUUGAUAUAUCCAAUAUCAAAAUUGAAACUUGAUAUAAUCAAGGAUAACAAUAGCAAAAUUAACGCUCAAACCAGGUCAAACGUACAAAAUUGUCUAAUUGAAAUUCAUCAUUGAAUUAAUACAUUUAUGUAAAAAUAAAAAAAAUCAAAGGAUCAAUUGAGAAUUUACUUGAAAUGAAUGCAAAAAAAAUAUGUGUUGAGACAGACCAACAAACCUCUGAUGUAGAUGACAAGGAUCCAAAAGUCGUCAUCAACUCACUGGACUACGACUCAUUAGCAAAAAUCAUCAUGUUGUUACCAAUACCAGAAAGGAUAGACAUGGAAAAAGUUUGUGUCAAAUGGAAAGAGGCAUGUC